UACAGGCUUAACACAUGCAAGUCGAGGGGCAGCAUGGUCUUAGCUUGCUAAGGCCGAUGGCGACCGGCGCACGGGUGAGUAACACGUAUCCAACCUGCCGUCUACUCUUGGACAGCCUUCUGAAAGGAAGAUUAAUACAAGAUGGCAUCAUGAGUCCGCAUGUUCACAUGAUUAAAGGUAUUCCGGUAGACGAUGGGGAUGCGUUCCAUUAGAUAGUAGGCGGGGUAACGGCCCACCUAGUCUUCGAUGGAUAGGGGUUCUGAGAGGAAGGUCCCCCACAUUGGAACUGAGACACGGUCCAAACUCCUACGGGAGGCAGCAGUGAGGAAUAUUGGUCAAUGGGCGAGAGCCUGAACCAGCCAAGUAGCGUGAAGGAUGACUGCCCUAUGGGUUGUAAACUUCUUUUAUAAAGGAAUAAAGUCGGGUAUGGAUACCCGUUUGCAUGUACUUUAUGAAUAAGGAUCGGCUAACUCCGUGCCAGCAGCCGCGGUAAUACGGAGGAUCCGAGCUUUAUCCGGAUUUAUUGGGUUUAAAGGGAGCGUAGAUGGAUGUUUAAGUCAGUUGUGAAAGUUUGCGGCUCAACCGUAAAAUUGCAGUUGAUACUGGAUAUCUUGAGUGCAGUUGAGGCAGGCGGAAUUCGUGGUGUAGCGGUGAAAUGCUUAGAUAUCACGAAGAACUCCGAUUGCGAAGGCAGCCUGCUAAGCUGCAACUGACAUUGAGGCUCGAAAGUGUGGGUAUCAAACAGGAUUAGAUACCCUGGUAGUCCACACGGUAAACGAUGAAUACUCGCUGUUUGCGAUAUACUGCAAGCGGCCAAGUGAAAGCGUUAAGUAUUCCACCUGGGGAGUACGCCGGCAACGGUGAAACUCAAAGGAAUUGACGGGGGCCCGCACAAGCGGAGGAACAUGUGGUUUAAUUCGAUGAUACGCGAGGAACCUUACCCGGGCUUAAAUUGCAGAUGAAUUACGGUGAAAGCCGUAAGCCGCAAGGCAUCUGUGAAGGUGCUGCAUGGUUGUCGUCAGCUCGUGCCGUGAGGUGUCGGCUUAAGUGCCAUAACGAGCGCAACCCUUGUUGUCAGUUACUAACAGGUUCCGCUGAGGACUCUGACAAGACUGCCAUCGUAAGAUGUGAGGAAGGUGGGGAUGACGUCAAAUCAGCACGGCCCUUACGUCCGGGGCUACACACGUGUUACAAUGGGGGGUACAGAGGGCCGCUACCACGCGAGUGGAUGCCAAUCCCCAAAACCUCUCUCAGUUCGGACUGGAGUCUGCAACCCGACUCCACGAAGCUGGAUUCGCUAGUAAUCGCGCAUCAGCCACGGCGCGGUGAAUACGUUCCCGGGCCUUGUACACACCGCCCGUCAAGCCAUGGGAGCCGGGGGUACCUGAAGUGCGUAACCGCGAGGAGCGCCCUAGGGUAAAACUGGUGACUGGGGCUAAGUCAUAAC
rnacentral:rRNA from 1 species